rnacentral:tRNA from 1 species
GCCGAUGUAGCUCAGCUGGCUAGAGCAGCUGAUUUGUAAUCAGCAGGUCGGGGGUUCGAGUCCCUUCAUCGGCUC